rnacentral:rRNA from 1 species
GUGCUUAACACAUGCAAGUCGAACGGAAAGGCCCUGCUUUUGUGGGGUGCUCGAGUGGCGAACGGGUGAGUAACACGUGAGUAACCUGCCCUUGACUUUGGGAUAACUUCAGGAAACUGGGGCUAAUACCGGAUAGGAGCUCCUGCUGCAUGGUGGGGGUUGGAAAGUUUCGGCGGUUGGGGAUGGACUCGCGGCUUAUCAGCUUGUUGGUGGGGUAGUGGCUUACCAAGGCUUUGACGGGUAGCCGGCCUGAGAGGGUGACCGGCCACAUUGGGACUGAGAUACGGCCCAGACUCCUACGGGAGGCAGCAGUGGGGAAUAUUGCACAAUGGGCGGAAGCCUGAUGCAGCAACGCCGCGUGCGGGAUGACGGCCUUCGGGUUGUAAACCGCUUUCGCCUGUGACGAAGCGUGAGUGACGGUAAUGGGUAAAGAAGCACCGGCUAACUACGUGCCAGCAGCCGCGGUGAUACAUAGGGUGCGAGCGUUGUCCGGAUUUAUUGGGCGUAAAGGGCUCGUAGGUGGUUGAUCGCGUCGGAAGUGUAAUCUUGGGGCUUAACCCUGAGCGUGCUUUCGAUACGGGUUGACUUGAGGAAGGUAGGGGAGAAUGGAAUUCCUGGUGGAGCGGUGGAAUGCGCAGAUAUCAGGAGGAACACCAGUGGCGAAGGCGGUUCUCUGGGCCUUUCCUGACGCUGAGGAGCGAAAGCGUGGGGAGCGAACAGGCUUAGAUACCCUGGUAGUCCACGCUGUAAACGGUGGGUACUAGGUGUGGGGUCCAUUCCACGGGUUCCGUGCCGUAGCUAACGCUUUAAGUACCCCGCCUGGGGAGUACGGCCGCAAGGCUAAAACUCAAAGGAAUUGACGGGGCCCCGCACAAGCGGCGGAGCAUGCGGAUUAAUUCGAUGCAACGCGUAGAACCUUACCUGGGUUUGACAUGGAUCGGGAGUGCUCAGAGAUGGGUGUGCCUCUUUUGGGGUCGGUUCACAGGUGGUGCAUGGCUGUCGUCAGCUCGUGUCGUGAGAUGUUGGGUUAAGUCCCGCAACGAGCGCAACCCUUGUUCACUGUUGCCAGCACGUUAUGGUGGGGACUCAGUGGAGACCGCCGGGGUCAACUCGGAGGAAGGUGGGGAUGACGUCAAGUCAUCAUGCCCCUUAUGUCCAGGGCUUCACGCAUGCUACAAUGGCUGGUACAGAGAGUGGCGAGCCUGUGAGGGUGAGCGAAUCUCGGAAAGCCGGUCUCAGUUCGGAUUGGGGUCUGCAACUCGACCUCAUGAAGUCGGAGUCGCUAGUAAUCGCAGAUCAGCAACGCUGCGGUGAAUACGUUCCCGGGGCUUGUACACACCGCCCGUCAAGUCAUGAAAGUUGGUAACACCCGAAGCCGGUGGCCUAACCGUUGUGGGGGAGCCGUCGAAGGUGGGACUGGUGAUUAGGACUAAGUCAUAACA